rnacentral:rRNA from 1 species
CCUACGGGUUGCAGCAGUAGGGAAUCUUCCACAAUGGGUGCAAACCUGAUGGAGCAAUGCCGCGUGAGUGAAGAAGGUCUUCGGAUCGUAAAGCUCUGUUGUUAGAGAAGAACACGUGCUAGGUAACUACUAGCGCCUUGACGGUAUCUAACCAGAAAGUCACGGCUAACUACGUGCCAGCAGCCGCGGUAAUACGUAGGUGACAAGUGUUGUCCGGAUUUAUUGGGCGUAAAGGGAGCGCAGGCGGUCUGUUUAGUCUAAUGUGAAAGCCCACGGCUUAACCGUGGAACGGCAUUGGAAACUGACAGACUUGAAUGUAGAAGAGGAAAAUGGAAUUCCAAGUGUAGCGGUGGAAUGCGUAGAUAUUUGGAGGAACACCAGUGGCGAAGGCGAUUUUCUGGUCUAACAUUGACGCUGAGGCUCGAAAGCGUGGGGAGCGAACAGGAUUAGAUACCCGAGUAGUC